GUCUCUGUGGAUGAGUUGGAAAUCACCUCGACAGAGUUCAUCAGCAAGAUUGUUGCACGAGGAGACGUGGGUUCAAAUCCCACUAGAGGUU